UGACAAUGGCCGAGAACAUUGUGGAUAAAAAUGGCUUCAACAUAUGAACUGAUGCAGGAUGAAUCUACCCGGCUGUUUUCUUCAAAAAGGAAAGUGAAUGUCACCGUAUGUAGUUGCAGCCGUUCCAAAAACGUUGAAGGUCUUAUCAAGCUCAUCAGACAACACAUGAAUGGUAUUGUGAAAACUGUGAGAUUUGAGACCCUUCCGUAUAACGUCAGAGACAUGGACGAGUUUGAUCUGAGCGGUAUAGAUGUUCUGCUUCUCUGUCACUCCAUAGAAAACAGACGAUUCUCAAUAACCGAUGUCACAGAUGCUCUUUAUGAUGGAUUCCUACCGAGGGCCAGGAAGUAUUUGGGUAAGGAUUCGCUGUUAGGCCCUGAGAAGAAAAUAAACCGCCUUUUCGACCCUGAGAAUUAUUUGAAUGAAUCUAGUAGUAAAUUGUGUUUUUCAUAUCACAUUCCCAGAUCUCUAACAAGUGAAAAA